GACGAACGCUGGCGGCGUGCUUAACACAUGCAAGUCGAACGGUAAGGCUCUUCGGAGUACACGAGUGGCGAACGGGUGAGUAACACGUGAGCAACCUACCCUUGACACUGGGAUAACAGUUGGAAACAGCUGCUAAUACCGGAUACGACCCGAGCAGGCAUCUGCUUGGGUGGAAAGCUCCGACGGUCAAGGAUGGGCUCGCGGCCUAUCAGCUUGUUGGUGAGGUAACGGCUCACCAAGGCGACGACGGGUAGCCGGCCUGAGAGGGCGACCGGCCACACUGGGACUGAGAUACGGCCCAGACUCCUACGGGAGGCAGCAGUGGGGAAUAUUGCGCAAUGGGCGAAAGCCUGACGCAGCAACGCCGCGUGCGGGAUGACGGCCUUCG
rnacentral:rRNA from 1 species